GCCUGUUUAGCUCAGUGGUAGAGCGCUUGUCUUGUAAACAAGAGGUCGGUUGUUCAAUCCAGCCACCAGGCA